rnacentral:rRNA from 1 species
UACGUAGGUGGCAAGCGUUGUCCGGAUUUACUGGGCGUAAAGAGCGCGCAGGCGGUCGAUCAAGUCGAGUGUGAAAGCCCCCGGCUCAACUGGGGAGGGUCACUCGAUACUGAUCGACUUGAAGGCAGGAGAGGGAAGCGGAAUUCCCGGUGUAGUGGUGAAAUGCGUAGAUAUCGGGAGGAACACCAGUGGCGAAGGCGGCUUCCUGGCCUGUUCUUGACGCUGAGGCGCGAAAGCUAGGGGAGCAAACGGG